rnacentral:rRNA from 1 species
GAUAAACGCUGGCGGCGUGCUUUAUGCAUGCAAGUCGCACGGUCAAUCGCAAGAAAGACAGUGGCAAACGGGUGCGUAAUACAUAAGUAACCUGCCCCUAAGUGGAGAAUAGCUCCGGGAAACUGGAGAUAAUGCUGCAUGUUGUAGCGGGGGUAAUGCUCCGCUAAUAAAGCCCGUAAGGGCGCUUGGGGAGGGGCUUAUGUCUGAUUAGCUAGUUGGUGAGGUAAUGGCCCACCAAGGCUUUGAUCGGUAGCUGGUCUGAGAGGAUGGUCAGCCACAAUGGGACUGAGACACGGCCCAUACUCCUACGGGUGGCAG